UUACCUUCACUAGGUUUCAUUGGACUAGACUAGAUUAUAAAUUAGGGUAGUCCUAUUUUUAUUACACAAGCGGACUAGCUUAGUGGGAUUACCCUUCACUCGCCUCGACUAAGGGGCUCGCUAGAUCGUCUUAGCAAGACCCCUCGAAUUCCAGCAGACUAGUAAGACUGUCAUCUCUCUCGUCGUCCCGCUUUGCUCCAUAGCAUUGUCGGACCAUUCCUCGACCAACGCCGCAUCCUCAUAAGUCUCUCAGAGCUUCAUCUUCCACUUCAUCUUCUUCAUUUUCUUCGAUUUUGUUUUGAAGAUUCGUGAAAUUAUUAGUGGGUUUAAUCGAUUAUGGGUUUUGAUUUACUUCUGGGAUUUCUGCAUUCUGAUUUAUUUCUAGGAUUUCUGGGUUUUGAUUGAUUUCUGGGUUUUAAUUUGAUCUACAAAUCAGUCAUAUUGUUUUAGGAGAAUGUUUGAUCCUGCAGAGAACAAUCGUCUUCCUCUGAGAAAAUCGUUCCGUGCAUGUCCUUCGAGACGCCCUGUUGUUAUUCCCAACAUCGACCUCGUCGAUUAUGCCUAUCAAUUCGAGUGGUCUAUACCAUUCAUCAAGCUUUGGCGACUUGAAACUUUUCACUCGAGCUUUGGCGACUGGAAGCUUUGGUCUAUACCAUUCACUUCCUUUGUCCGAUUAGAUGCUCAUUAAUUAUUAUUUUUUUGCUGUUUUAGGUACCAUCUAUAUCGAGAUGAGGAUAUACUGGGAACACUGCACGACUGAUGUAUUGUUUGACCUAUGAUCGUGUUAAUUUUGUUCAUGAUUUAUCCUAGUGGAUUUAAGUUCCGUAGCAUGGAGUCGAUCUUUGUUAAUGCCCUACUGUUUAAAUUUGUUAUGUGCUUAUAUAUUAGAUGAAGGAGAACGUGUAAAACUGUUCUGCUAUUGGGCAAAUAAUUUGAAUGCAACUAAGACGUCUUUAAUAUGUAU